ensembl:snoRNA
UGGUCGUUACCAAGGCUUUUAGAACGCAGUUUCUGAUUUGCUGUGGGCAGGACCACAAACAAUUUCCCAAUAAGUUUGGUCUUUUUGCCGCCUUGCUAGCAUACCACCAACUGGGGACACCA